rnacentral:lncRNA from 1 species
AAAGAAGGGUCGAUCCUUGCGUCAAGAAUUUCUUCUGCGUGAGCAUAUCCUACGGGUACCUACAGUGUAGGAUAACUCUCUGAAUUCUGACCAGCAGCGUCGGUAAAUGCGAGAGAUGGGGUCCAUGGGGAGAGCAGAGGUUGCAUGGGCGAGCUGCAGAAGCGGCCUAUUUUCUGGCUUAUGAAAUUAGUCGUGCACAUCACGGGUUGACCGCUGAAUCACCAGUCCGUUGUUGGUUCAUUUUAUUUUGACAAACAUACUUACAUACAUACACACUUGAUUCGAACUCGCUGACUGAAAAGCAAUAACACAUGGCAAAUGUAGUAUACUGCACUAUGUUAACGCGUCCUUUGGCGCUCAGCCGCUCACCACACGAAAUCCCCAGCUUACAUAUAUACGGCAAACAAUGAAGAAAACCAAUCCAAUUGUUGUACAUAUAUAUGUUUAACUAAGCAGAAGUGCGGGCGUGGUCCUCCGGACGACGCACGUCGGUCGGCGCCUCGAUAAACUCCGACCACGGGCCACGGUGGCGGCUGGCGUCGGCGUCGGCCGCUCCGGCCGGCAGCUCCCGGUAGUCUAUGAGGUGGCACCUGCUGCCGCUGCCGCCGUGGGAGCUGCCGUCCGACGACGCGCGGCGGUAGCUGUCCCUCCCGUGGCUCUUCCUGAUGGCGUCGAUCACGAACGGGAUCAGCCCUUCCAUUGCUCAAACCAAACACCACCACCCGUGCCUUCUUCUUCUUCCUCCGGCUGCUGUUCCUGCGCUGGGUAUCCUUUGCGAAGUUGUUAGCUUGUGCUUCUGUCACCUGGGAGACCGGGGCCUAUUUAUGGAGCCAAGCUAGCGGCCGGGGCGCGCGCGUGCGUUUGAUGGCUGGCGG